CUUCAUAAUCUCCAAUUGUAAUACUGCACCCUCACAACUUUCAGCACACAAUUACCCUUAUUCCAAUCAUUGGAAUUCUUUACACAGAACUGCCAUUCACAUUACAGUAUUUCACACAAACACAAACUCAUUCUCUCUGUUGAACUACAAUCAGAUUUUAGUAUUCAAUCUUUCUUCUUUUCAAAUAAUACCAAUGACAUUUCCAUUCCAUAAUUCACUUCACAAUAUUCAGAAACUCUCAAUCCUCUUAUUCAAAGAAAAUAACAAACAAAAGAAAAGAGAUAGCACCAAGCUUAUCCCGGCUCACACUAUCACAGCGAUGGCUCUCGACUCAUGACUAUCAUAAUCUGGCACCCUAAUUAACUUCUACAACUC
rnacentral:lncRNA from 1 species